rnacentral:tRNA from 1 species
AGUAAAGUCAGCUAAUUAAGCUCUUGGGCCCAUACCCCAAAAAUGUUGGUCAAAACCCUCCUUUACUA